rnacentral:lncRNA from 1 species
CACCCCUUCUGGUGUGAUGAGGCUGCCUGGCCAUCCUAGGUGGAAUCAACCACACUCAGCUCUGUGGAAGAAGGAAUGCCCAAUACUGUUCCCCAGAGCCGCCUGCAGCAACUGACACCUGCCCCACCUCAGCUGCCGCUCCACCUGCUCAGGCCUGCCUCCAGAGUUGUCAGAGACAUGGAAGAGAACAAGCAGCUACAGAAGGAAUCCAACUUUAAAGAAAAGUUAAAAGAAAAGAAGAUAGAGCCCUCUCUGCAGCCUGGCCCAUUAGGGUGUAAAAGCGUCUGAGGUCGGAAUUCUGACUAACGCUUCAACUUCCACGGAUAGGCAGCAAGCCAAAGGGAUCCUUGUUUUCAUAGAAAGUCUUCCCCAAACCCAAGUGGACACCCAAUUCAGAGACCAUGAAGUGAAACUGAUGUAGAAACUCCCUGGAAGGUUUCACUGGGGACAAACACUGGAUUAUUAAGAUUAGCCUGGGCCAUGAAAAUAUCCUACUAGAAGCAUUGUGAGCUGAAUCCAGCUGCCCUGGCU